rnacentral:misc_RNA from 1 species
GAUUCCUAGAAAAAUGCUUAAGCAGAAACACCAUCAUUAUAUAGAAACACAAAAAUUCACAGAAAUUCACGACAAUUAUUUUGAGCAUGAACACAUCACAGAAUGAACUGGGAAGAAACUAAAACAUCAAUGACUGACAUAUACAUUCAACUAAUGCUUUUCCACUCCACAAUCAGGUAUUAAUAUGUAUCACACAAAAGAAUCCAG